GACGAACGCUGGCGGCGUGCUUAACACAUGCAAGUCGAGCGGAAGGGCCCUUCGGGGUACUCGAGCGGCGAACGGGUGAGUAACACGUGAGCAACCUGCCCUAGGCUUUGGGAUAACCCCGGGAAACCGGGGCUAAUACCGAAUAGGACCUGGCCUCGCAUGAGGCUGGGUGGAAAGUUUUUCGGCCUGGGAUGGGCUCGCGGCCUAUCAGCUUGUUGGUAGGGUAAUGGCCUACCAAGGCGAUGACGGCUAGGGGAGGUGAGAGCCUGACCCCCACCAUUGGAACUGCGACACGGUCCAAACACCUACGGGUGGCUGCAGUCGAGAAUCUUCCACAAUGGGCGAAAGCCUGAUGGAGCGACGCCGCGUGCAGGAUGAAGUUCUUCGGGAUGUAAACUGCUUUUUGUUGGGAAGAAGUUAUUGACGGUACCAACAGAAUAAGGGCCUGCUAAUCUCGUGCCAGCCGCCGCAGUAAAAC
rnacentral:rRNA from 1 species